ACAUCUGGCAAAUGUUUGUGUAAAUGUCUUGCUGUACGUUUCACUAUGUGUACUUGUUAGUCAGGUGCAGUUCACGCGAGACCAUGCACUUGUCCUCCAUGCCAUGGAUGAUUGUAACCCGAUGAACCCUGAAACAGCUGUAAACGACCUUUAAAGCCAACGUGGCCACCCCACUACCAGCCCCACACAUAUCUCUAAUCCUCAUAGUUCACUCAAGGAUGUGUAUUUAUAGAUGGUGAGGGGGGUUAUGUACCACUAGUAUCUACCACUGAUCUUCUUAUAGCCCCAGAGAAUUCAUUGGAAGAUCUUUGAUCUGUGGAAAUUAUUUAAGAGAAAGAGGCAGAGUGAAAAGACUUAGAGCUAAGUUUCAAUCUUUAGCUGCAUGUAAUAAUAGUCAAAGUGUUGUGAGGUUAGCUGAAGCAAGCGACUAGAGAUGGCACGUGACCGGCCCCACUGUGCAUCAUCAGUGGAACAAUGUCAGUUGCUGGACUGUAUGAUGUGUAUGAAUACAUAUUUCAAAACAAAAACCUGUGCAUAAUUCAAAAAUAUUUCAAUUGCUGUUUUUUUUUUCUUCUUCAGCCUAGGCAUUAAUUAGUGACAUUGAACUCCUCAGAGGUCCAAAUUACAUAUGUUAGAGCUUUGCAGGCUGAAGUUCGUCAUCUUUGUUAUGAGCAAAAGAAAGACAUUUUAAGACAUAAAAAAUAUGUGACUCAUUUCUCCACCAGAAUUGUGAAUUUUAAAUUUUGAGUGAAUGGAACACGCCUUCUGUUACCUCUGCUUAAGGGGCCAGGUUAGCAUUGGUAAUAUUAGAUUAAAUAGUAUUUAUAGCCUAUUUGAUACCAAUUUACCAGUUGUCACCAAGUGUCAUCACUGAAAAUAAUUGCAGAGGCUAUAAGUUGCCAUAAUCAGACAGAUUUAUGUGGAAUGCCAUGGAUUGUGUCCAGAAUGAAAUUUGUUGUAGUACGACACGUGUUCACCAGUAAAGACCCUCUGGUGUUUAUUUAUUUGUUUGGAGUCUACCCACUGGCAAUAUUAGAUAAACUGUUGGCAUGAAUGACUAUUUGAAUUGAGCCUAAUGGUUUCAUGUAGUGUUAGCAUACAAUGGUUUUCUGUGAAUGGUGCAAUCCUUUCCAUUCAGAUGGUAUGCCACUAGUGUCGCUACGAGAACCUUUUUUUUAGAAUGUUCAGACUGGUGUUUUAUUUUGGAAAGGUAUCUUGGAAUAAUUCUGCAUCAGCAUUCUUGGAAUAAGGAUUUAUUUCAUUGACCUGAAUUUAACAAUCUGUGUUCUAAUUGUCGUAACUGUACUUUUCACUUGUAGCCAUUUUGUUUUAAUGUGUCUAAAAUAAGGUUGUGUGCAAAUGUCAAGUUGUUUGUCUUCUUGGUUCUUGG